GACGAACGCUGGCGGCGUGCUUAACACAUGCAAGUCGAACGGAGUGGCGGAGGAGUGAGUAACACGUGGGGGGACUGCCCUGCAGUUCGGGGUACGCCUAGCAAAAUGGGGUUAAUACCGGGCAGUGUGGGAUGGGCUCGCGGCCUAUCAUCUUGUUGGGGGGGUAGUGGCCUACCAAGGCGGCGACGGGUAGCCGGCCUGAGAGGGUGGACGGCCACAGUGGGACUGAGAGACGGCCCAGACUCCUACGGGAGGCAGCAGGGGGGAAUAUUGCACAAUGGGGGGAAGUCUGAGGCAGCGACGCCGGGUGCGGGAGGACGGGCUUCGGGUUGUAAACUACGUUCAGCAUCGACGCGGUAGAUGGAUAAGAAGCACCGGCUAACUACGUGCCAGCAGCCGCGGUAAUAC
rnacentral:rRNA from 1 species